ensembl:lncRNA LINC00658 long intergenic non-protein coding RNA 658
AGAUCUCUCUCUCUGCGGAAGCCAGCCACCGCUCUCCAAGGACUCUCGAGCAGCUCCAUCUACAGAUUCACAUGGAGAAGAAUUAAGGGUUCCUGCCAAUCACCAGCACCACUUUGCCAGCCUUGUAAGUGGGCCACCUUGGAAUUGGAGCCUCCAGUUCCUACUGACAUCUGACUGCAACAUCAUGAGAGACCCUGAGUUUGAACCACCCAGCUGAGCUGCUUCUGAGCUAACCCACUGAAACCGUGAAAGUACCUGAAUGAAACAACACCCAGUAGCCACUAGCACACCUAGCUCCCAGAUCUGUUUUUGAUGCCAUUCUUCAGUAAAAGGAAGCAAGGCUGCUUGGAGAAAUUGCUAUCAAGGACUGGGGUAGAAAAUAUACAAGAUGAAAUUGGAGCAUCUUGUAGUGCUUGAAAACAGUUGGCAUCUGUGUGAAGAUGUGAAUGGAGGAGGCAGAGUAGGCAGUGAGUGCCGCAGCCACAGCUUGUGUUCUCUGCAGCCCUGGCACAGAAGAUAGGAACACUCAUGGGGGAUGCGGCCACUGUGAUGUCUUCCCACACAAGAAGUGCCAAGUGCUUUUCUCAUGCUUUUCUGGAUUGUCCCAUGGUGGACGAGUCAGCAGGAGUGAGAUGGAGCAGCACAGUAGAGGGGCCAGGAUAUCGUUGUACAUAUUCUCAGCUAAGUGAGCACCAAUAGAGGAGAGGGAGAGUCUCAUGGAAGUUCCUUCUAAGCCUUUGGCUCUUUUUACCUUCAACAAGGUGUGCCACCUCUUUGAUCCAGCAAGUGGGAAGAACAGUCCCGGCCUCUUUGCACACAAGACCGUGAUACCAAUGCACCAUCACAGGCCCCACAGGGGAGCUGUCCGCUUCCCCACACAGCUGCUAGGGGCUCUUUUGCAUGUUCCCAACCUUUCCUGCCUUUAUCUGAUAUUCGUUCCUUAGAUCCUGGGAUGAGGAGGUGGACCAGCAGAAGGUGGGCUUGUGAAGGCAGCCCGGGGUCCAAAUCCUCCUGGCUCUUCAGCUUAGCGGGUUAGUUAACAUUCAGAAGCCUUCAUCUCCCAUCUGCAAAAUGGGCAUGUCCAACUCAGAAGCUGCCUUGAAGAAAGGGUCUACCCAGCAUGGUGCGUGGAGCCUAAGCAGUCAGUACUUCAGGACUUCACCCGGCCCCUUUCCAAUAACUGCUGCUGUCGCCCUCACAGGAUGUCACCUUCAGCGUCUGAAAGCUGGGUUUGAUGCGUCUGGAAAGGCGUCCCUGACAGGCGUCGUUGCCAGGAGCCCCUAGUGCCACCAGCAGCCAGCAGGGGAGGGCGUCCUCUGCCCGCUCACUUCUGACCCUUCUCUCGUUGCACCCGGAACAUGGUGCAGCUGGGAGCAGCCUGGGCUGCGCGGAAGGCUCAGAUUUGGGGACGGCCCUUGCCAGUGACUGUGAGCUGGGGUGUCUUGGAAACUCCCAGUCUCAGCUUCUCCAUUUAUAAGAUGAGAAUGAUCAUACCAGACUCAGGCAAGGUUGUUUGUGCAUUAGUGAAAUCAGACGUAUUAAAUAAAGUACCACAUUGAUCGUGGAGUUGUUGAAUAACCAAGAACACGCCUAUCUGUCUCCAAAAAAUAAAUGUUGAAAAUGA